rnacentral:rRNA from 1 species
UACGUAGGGGGCAAGCGUUGGUCCGGAUUUAUUGGGCGUAAAGAGCGUGUAGGCGGCCAUGUAGGUCCGUUGUGAAAACUCGAGGCUCAACCUCGAGACGCCGAUGGAAACCAUGUGGCUAGAGUCCGGAAGAGGCGAGUGGAAUUCCUGGUGUAGCGGUGAAAUGCGCAGAUAUCAGGAGGAACACCAAUGGCGAAGGCAGCUCGCUGGGACGGUACUGACACUGGAGACGCGAAAGCGUGGGGAGCGAACAGG